rnacentral:snRNA from 1 species
AUACUUACCUGGCAAGGGAGAUACUGUGAUCAAGAAAGCAGUUCACCCAGGGUGAGGCUCAGCCAUUGCACUGCGGCUGUGCUGACCCCUGCGAAUUUCCGAUUGCAUAAUUUAUGGUAGUGGGGGACUGCGUUCGCGCUCUCCCCUG